rnacentral:rRNA from 1 species
CCUACGGGUGGCAGCAGUGGGGAAUAUUGCGCAAUGGGCGAAAGCCUGACGCAGCGACGCCGCGUGAGGGAUGAAGGUCUUCGGAUCGUAAACCCCUGUCAGCAGGGAAGAACGGUCACUGUGCUAAUCAGCAGUGAAUUGACGGCACCUGCAAAGGAAGCACCGGCUAACUCCGUGCAAGCAGCCGCGGUAAUACGGAGGGUGCGAGCGUUAAUCGGAAUUACUGGGCGUAAAGCGCGCGUAGGCGGUAUGUCAAGUCAAGGGUGAAAUCCCCGCGCUCAACGUGGGAACUGCAUUUGAAACUGGCAAACUAGAGUAUGGGAGAGGUAAGUGGAAUUCCAGGUGUAGGAGUGAAAUCCGUAGAUAUCAAGAGGAACAUCAGUGGCGAAGGCGACUAUCUGGCACAUAACUGACGCUGAGGAGCGAAAGCGUGGGUAGCAAACAGGAUUAGAUACCCUAGUAGUC